GCCGGCUUUGUUCAAGGGGGUGCCCACAUGCUGUGACGUCAAAUGUAUUGUCUUUGGUCAUGAUCGGUCGCGGUUGAUUUGAACGCCAGUCGGUUGGUGUGUGAGCUGCGGAGAACAUCGCAGGAACACUUUCUUCGAUUUCAAGCUUAAAAAUGCCUUCAAAUUUCCCGAAACAAAUCAAAACGGCUGCAGCAGAAGAGGUGAUUGACCCCUCGGCCCAUGAGGUGUGAAAGCGAGAAUGAUGAGUGCCAGUCUUCAGAAUGACGAGGUGGCAGUGCCCAGUUUAAGCAGGGUCAUGGAACAACUCUUCCCUCCGUGAGAAGACCUCCAUGGAGACAGAAAUAACUCUGGGCCAAGUCUCAGUAGAACCAUACCUUUACCCGACGUCACCAACCAGGGAAGGACAUGUUUUCCAGUGGUCAUUCCAUUGUGCUAGGCUUCGAAUCCAACCAAACUGGAGCGCCACCUGUUCACAAAUGUAGUGCCUUCAUAGCUUUUUGUUAGAAAUAUCGUUCAUAAUCCAGGACAAAAUUUGACACGUCCUUCCUGUGCUAGUGACCGUUCAAAUUGCAUGAGCCCGUUGAUGAUGUCUUUUAACGUGGCAUUAAGUUGAUUGGACUUAACUGCAUGAGGUAACGCCUAGUAAGUGUCUUGACUUUGUGGCAACAAGCGGUUCCUGUGAAGAACAAUCAGGACCAAGUGUGUUGUCGCACCACUUUCGCUGUCACAAUCACAUCAACAUUAUCAGGAUGAUCAGGUCACAGAUCGCCGAUACUUCAGGGGAGUCGGGGAAAAAACUCUGGUGUAAAAGCAGAAAAUUUCCCCUGGAAAAAUUGUCCGGGCCUAUUGUAUUCUGUCGGAUUAUGCUAUGAAUGGUUUUGUACUAGUUGCUGUGACCGCCAAUAGUUCCAGAUAAAAGUGAGUGAUAGAAUGCUUGGUUCCCGGACAUUCUAUCCCCGGCUGCAGAAACUCCCAGAAAAAAGUUGUAAAUUCUACUCUGAUAAUU